rnacentral:rRNA from 1 species
AUUGAACGCUGGCGGCAGGCUUAACACAUGCAAGUCGAACGGUAACAUAAAGGAGCUUGCUUCUUUGAUGACGAGUGGCGGACGGGUGAGUAAUGCUUGGGAAUCUAGCUUAUGGAGGGGGAUAACUACGGGAAACUGUAGCUAAUACCGCGUAGAAUCGGGUGAUGAAAGUGUGGGACCUUCGGGCCACAUGCCAUAGGAUGAGCCCAAGUGGGAUUAGGUAGUUGGUGAGGUAAAGGCUCACCAAGCCGACGAUCUCUAGCUGGUCUGAGAGGAUGACCAGCCACACUGGGACUGAGACACGGCCCAGACUCCUACGGGAGGCAGCAGUGGGGAAUAUUGCGCAAUGGGGGCAACCCUGACGCAGCCAUGCCGCGUGAAUGAAGAAGGCCUUCGGGUUGUAAAGUUCUUUCGGUAGCGAGGAAGGCAUUUAGUUUAAUAGACUAGGUGAUUGACGUUAACUACAGAAGAAGCACCGGCUAACUCCGUG